rnacentral:lncRNA from 1 species
AUGAAUCCGAUUAAAUGUGAUAGGGUGAAGGCCCCAGUGCAGCAGCAACAGCACAUGAUGGAGACGAUGAUGAGGAGGAGACCAUCUCUCUGGAUUCCAGAAGGCAUGAGGACCCAGAUGCUAUACAGUGGGAAAACCAGCCUGGCAACAAGCUCACAAGCUAUCAGAAAGUUGUAUGGCAACCACCUCCGGCGCCAAAUAGAACUGGCAGACAUAGACAUUCAGUACAAGAAGAAAAAGAUGGAAAAUCUUGCACUGGAGUUCGAAAUAAAAAAGAGGACAAUUAGGAAACUGGACCUUGAAAUAAAAAACCUUGAGAGGGAGCUCCAAGAAGAUGACACAGCUCAAAAUAAAAAUUUGGUAUAUUCUUGUAAAGUCAAGUGAGCCAUGACAUAUGAGCUCUUAUUGUGAGCACACAGGACGGUGGCAUCUUUCUAAGGUUUUUUUUAUUUUCCCAGCAAUCAGUACAACCAAGUCAUCGUUAUAAGGCAUCGCCCUCUUUUGCCCACCCCCCCAGCACC